GCGCAGCAGGCGAGAAUACUUCACACUGUGCGAAAGCACGAUGAGGGAAUCCCAAGUGCUUGCACGUAAGUGUAAGCUGUUUCUCUGUUUAAAACGCAGAGAGAGUAAGGGCUGGGUAAGACGGGUGCCAGCCGCCGCGGGUAAUACCUGCAGCUCAAGUGGUGACCGUUAUUAUUGGGGCCUAAAACGGUCCGUAGCCGGUUUAAUAAAUGCCUGGGUAAAUCGUGUAGCUUAACUAUACGGAAUUCCGGGUAGACUGUUAAACUCGAAAGACCGGGAGAAGUUAGAGGUACUCCUGGGGUAGAGGUGAAAUUCUGUAAUCCUAGGGGGACCACCAGUGGCGAAGGCGUCUAACUAGAACGGGUCGUGACGGUGAGGGACGAAGCCCUGGGGCGCAAAACGGGGAUUAGGAUACCCCGUAGGU
rnacentral:rRNA from 1 species